rnacentral:lncRNA from 1 species
GAGGUUCCAGCUGAUUACCUACUGACUGUUAGAAUUCUACACACUGGGAUCUUUUGAUCUUCACAUUCAUCCUUCUUUUGUUUUAACUACUCGACUUUAAGAUAUUCUCAGUCUCUGCUUAGAACACUCCUCUCCUCUUCUUGUUCAGUUCAUGUCUGUGGAUCGUAUCGAUGGCAGUUCAAACUGUUUGGUCUCAGAAACAGUGCAGUUAUUCUCUUAUAUCUGUGCUCAGGACGCUGUAAUCCAUCUUUUAGAACAAUUGUCAUAAUUAAGUGAUUUUGGGGAAAUUGUAUUGUGUCUGUUUCCUUCCAGGAAAGUGCAAGCCUGAAGAGGCCACUGUCUUAUCCUCUGCCUUUUAUUCCCAGCACAAUGUAGUGUGUCAGACAGCAGGUUUUCAGUGAAUAUUUGCAGAAUAGAUUAAUCUGUUGGGAAUAGAAGAAUUGUGUAAAUAACCAUGCAGAGCAGUUUGGUAAGCAAUAAUGGUUUUAUUAAACUGAACUUGAGCUGUGAUUUGUCAGAUAAAAUAAAUACAUUUUCUUACGAUAAGUUCAAUCUGCAGAUCAAAGGAAUAUCACAAAUCUCAUGAAACCCAGAGAGAUGUGUUCAUUUUUAUUUAUUUAAUAUUUUCUAUUUAAUAGUUUCUAUUUAUUUAAUAAUUGUAUUUUAAUUGAUAAAAUUGGCAUCUGUAAAGGAGGUGGUCUAUAUUUGGUAUUAUAGCUCUUAUACAGAGGCAGUUUGAAUGAAAAUAAUUGUAUUUCAUGUAAUAUUCAGCACACUGGUAACUUUUGGAAAGGAAAAAAAAAUCCAAAAUCUAACUUAAUUGAAAGAAGUUUCUAUAAUAAUUUUUAGGGGUCUAGUUUGCAUAUGUUUAAACUUUUUAAUUUAAGGGUAACAUAUAAACAAAGAAGUACACAGGUCAUAAGUAUAUGCUUCAUGAUUUUUCACAAACUUAAUACACAAAGAACCAAAACAUUACCAGGACCUCAGAAGCCCCUCUUUUGCCCGUUCAGUUAUUAACUUAAAGGUGGCCAUUCUCCUGAAAUUUACAUCACAGAUUAUAUAAAUGGAAUUGUACAUACACUUUGUGUCUGGCUUCAUUUUUUGGAGACUCAUUCAUACUGUUGCAAAUAUUCAUAGUUGAUUUUUUGCUCAUUGAGAUGUAGAUGUCUAUUGUUUAUAUUAUAAGUUUUUUCUUUUGGUUUGGUUUAGAUUUAAUUCAUUCCAUUUGAGUUUCUUCCAGUUUUUAAAUAUUCUAAAUAGUGCUGCUGCUUUGAACAUUCUUGUUGUCUUUCUAUAAACAUAUACAUGUGUGUCUCUCAAUAGAAAUGAAUAUAUAUGAAUAUAUAGAAUAUGAAUAUAUAUGUAUACAUGCAUAUUCAUUUCUAUUGAGUAUAUAUC